AAUUGGAUUGAGAACAAUGUACAACUCUUAUCGAUAAGCCAUUGGAGGGCAAGUCUGGUGCCAGCAGCCGCGGUAAUUCCAGCUCCAAUAGCGUAUAUUAACGUUGUUGCAGUUAAAAAGCUCGUAGUUGAAGUGUGGGUGAUCGCUAUUGUGAGACUUCGGUCUCUCGAUAGUAAGUCACCCCCUUCCAGUAUCCAGUAGUGGGUAUUCAGUUACUUACUACUGUGUGUUGGUCCUUUACUGUGAGAAAAUUAGAGUGUUCAAAGCAGGCGUUUGCUUGAAUAGAUUAGCAUGGAAUAAUAAUUGAAGGCUUUCGUGUUCGAUUUGAUUGGUUUGUUCAUGGAAGCAAGGUUAAAAGGAACAGUUGGGGGUAUUCAUAUUCACUAGUUAGAGGUGAAAUUCUCGGAUUUAUGGAAGAUGAACAAGUGCGAAAGCAA
rnacentral:rRNA from 1 species